AUCGCGAGAGUGCAGCCUCACCUUGGGGCCUGAAAAACAGGCACUGAAACGGGCGGUCUGGCCGCCCACCUCUCGGAAUCCAAUGAAAGGGCAAGGCUUCCAGAAGCCAGGAUGGCAUACAGCAGGUGCUCACUGCAGGUUUGAAUGA
rnacentral:lncRNA from 1 species